UCCGUAGGCGGAUUGAUAAGUCAGAGGUGAAAUCCCACAGCUUAAUUGUGGAACUGCCUUUGAAACUGUUAGUCUUGAGUUAUAUGGAAGUAGAUAGAAUGUGUAGUGUAGCGGUGAAAUGCAUAGAGAUUACACAGAAUACCGAUUGCGAAGGCAGUCUACUACGUAUAUACUGACGCUAAUGGACGAAAGCGUGGGGAGCGAACAGGAUUAGAUACCCUGGUAGUCC
rnacentral:rRNA from 1 species